GGCAGUAGUGGCAGGGAGCUUACGGUGUUUACACUGAGGAAAGUCCGCCCACCCAAGAAAAGGUCACUUCCAGAAGGAAGACGGAGAAAUCCCGUGGCUCUGGUUUAGACACGACACGUCCUGCAGACAUGGGAAUGAUGAGACAUCCAGUAACAAAAGUUCAUAACAAACUUUUGGAACAGAAAAUCAGGAUAAAUAAUAUCAUUGAUUUUCUUGUAAUGGCGAAGCGUGUUGAAAAGCACGCGAGUUAAGUCUUUGACGCCUCUGCAGGGACCGAUGAAACGACGAAUUCCCUGAUCGGUGCAAGUCAGUAUGACGCUUAGUAGAAUGCUCCAACAGACUAUCGACAAGCAACGCUUGUUUUGGGUCUGACAGAAGGCGGCUUAUGUCACUCUGCC
rnacentral:RNase_P_RNA from 1 species